rnacentral:lncRNA from 1 species
UUUUUUGUUCUCAGAUGAGUUUUCUUUCUCACCCAUCUAUCUUUCUAUUCCUCCUUUCUUUCUUUAGUUAGCCUUCUAGUCCUUUGGUUUGGGAAUGGCCGAGUAGAGUAAGCUUGAUCCCAGUGGUUAUAGCUCUAUGCUAAAUCCGGAUGACUUGAGUCAGAUACGAGUGUGGUAUGGGAUUCCCUCAGACUUUGAUCU